rnacentral:rRNA from 1 species
UGCCAGCCGCCGCGGUAAUACGGAGGGUGCAAGCGUUGUUCGGAAUUACUGGGCGUAAAGCGCGCGUAGGUGGUUGUGUAAGUCAGAUGUGAAAGUCCACGGCUUAACCGUGGAAGUGCAUUUGAAACUGUAUAACUUGAGUACUGGAGGGGGUAGUGGAAUUCCCGGUGUAGAGGUGAAAUUCGUAGGUAUCGGGAGGAAUACCGGUGGCGAAGGCGACUACCUGGCCAGAUACUGACGCUGAAAUGCGAAAGUGUGGGGAGCAAACAGGAUUAGAUA